rnacentral:rRNA from 1 species
UACGUAGGGCGCAAGCGUUGUCCGGAAUUAUUGGGCGUAAAGAGCUCGUAGGCGGCCUGUUGCGUCCGCUGUGAAAUCCCGGGGCUCAACCCUGGGCGUGCAGUGGAUACGGGCAGGCUGGAGGCAGGCAGGGGAGAACGGAAUUCCCGGUGUAGCGGUGAAAUGCGCAGAUAUCGGGAGGAACACCAAUGGCGAAGGCAGCUCGCUGGGACGGUACUGACGCUGAGACGCGAAAGCGUGGGGAGCAAACAGG